rnacentral:antisense_RNA from 1 species
CUCGCCAAAAUAUUCACCGUCGCCCAAAAGAGCGAUCCGCAAAUCCUCGCCGUGAGGGCCUUUGCUGAUGACCUCGGCCUGUCCGCUGGCCACGAUGAAGAAGCGCUGCUUGUCCUUGCCCUCCUCCACGAAGAGUUUGUCCACGUCCACCUCCUUCGCCUCGAACGAGUUCACGAGGCGGUUCACUAUCUCGUCGUCAAAUUCCGAGAACAGGGGGAUAGCCUUGAGGUUCUUCGCCGUAAACGAGGGCACGCCGUUGACGUACUGGAUGGGCAGGCGGUCGUUCUUACGCAACUCCACCUUCGUACGGUUCACGCGGAACGUUCCUCCGCUCACCUGCACCCAGGGCAGCAGUUUCAGUAACAGUCUCGGGGUUAUCGAGCCCAUCUGCGGGGCGGUCUUCGUAGUCGUUGCCAGUCUUCUGGCGGUGGCAGUGGU